rnacentral:rRNA from 1 species
GACGAACGCUGGCGGCGUGCUUAACACAUGCAAGUCGAACGGAAAGGCCCUGCUUUUGUGGGGUGCUCGAGUGGCGAACGGGUGGGUAGCACGUGAGUAACCUGCCCUUGACUUUGGGAUAACUUCAGGAAACUGGGGCUAAUACCGGAUAGGAGCUCCUGCUGCAUGGUGGGGGUUGGAAAGUUUCGGCGGUUGGGGAUGGACUCGCGGCUUAUCAGCUUGUUGGUGGGGUAGUGGCUUACCAAGGCUUUGACGGGUAGCCGGCCUGAGAGGGUGACCGGCCACAUUGGGACUGAGAUACGGCCCAGACUCCUACGGGAGGCAGCAGUGGGGAAUAUUGCACAAUGGGCGGAAGCCUGAUGCAGCAACGCCGCGUGCGGGAUGACGGCCUUCGGGUUGUAAACCGCUUUCGCCUGUGACGAAGCGUGAGUGACGGUAAUGGGUAAAGAAGCACCGGCUAACUACGUG